AACAAGGGCUUCAAACUACAGGAAAGGAGAUUCCACCUGAACAUCAGGAAGAACUUCCUCACUGUGAGAGCUGUUCGGCAGUGGAACUCUCUCCCCCGGAGUGUGGUGGAAGCUCCUUCUUUGGAGGUUUUUAAAGCAGAGGCUGGAUGGCCAUCUGUCGGGGGUGCUUUGAAUGCGAUUUCCUGCUUCUUGGCAGGGGGUUGGACUGGAUGGCCCAUGAGCUCAAUUUCUAAAAUAGGCGGCCCAGAAACACUGCCUAAUUCUAGUUAUAGUGGUCAGUUUUUCUGCACUAACAUACCACAAGAAGGGAGGGAGGGAGCAAUAAUAAAAGAGGUAGAGUUAGUUCCAGAAUCAGUGCCAGAUUCACCCUUGUGCUGAGCUGUGCUUAAGCACAGGGCCCCAUUGGCCAGGGGGCCCAUCUUCCUGCCAAAAAUAUGUUUACAAUGGAUUUCAGUUAUGAGGUACAAUUCUAAAUUUGAAGGCAUUCUUGUUUAGAGCAAUUCCCAACAUAAUGAUAGAGUUGAUCAUCUAUGGGAGUGUGCCACAGAGCAGGCAGCGUAGGCCUACCGAGGCCUCAUAUCUUAACUAGUAAAGGGCCUCAUUUGUCCUAAAUCCAGCACUGUUCAGAAUGAUAACUGGGACCUGGCAAGUUGAGAAGUGAUUUUUAGUUCUGUGUCAUAGGUGUACUAUAUCAUCUUAGAUGUAGGAAUGCAUGGUUGUUUUUUUCUGUACAUUUGUAUAUGUUUAACUUUGUUUUUGGAGCCCUCAGUGGCUCAGUGGGUUAAACCCUUGUGCUGGCAGGACUGAUGACUGGUUGGGUUGCUGACCUAUCCGCUCCAGCUCCAUGCAGGGACAUGAGAGAAGCCUCCCACGAGGAUGGUAAAAACACCAAAACAUCAGGGUAUUCCCUGGGCAGCAUCCUUGCAGACGGCCAAUUCUCUCACACCAGAAGCAACUUGCAGUUUCUCAAGUCACUCCUGACAUGAAAAUAAAUAAACUUUGUUUUGGGGGUUUUCCCCUUUUUUGUAUACUUUAAUGGUUGCUUUUUUUAAAGCCUGAAAUGUUAAUUUUUAAAACAGCUCAUAAAAAGGGAAGAGGGCAAGAGAGGCCAAGAGGGAGAGUCAAAGAGAGAGAAAGCUUGCCACGUAAAACACACAUUCUCCUUGUCAUGAAAUCUGUGGGCCCAUUGCCCAUGUAUUGAGACAUGCCUUUAUGCAAGAGCCCUCUCACAAUCGGCUUCUUCAAGGAGCACCGGCGAUCGCCACUGAUGGAUAAACAGGAACUUUGUUACCGCAAAGGUUAGAUAAGAAAAACAGGCGCUGAAAGACCUUUCCUUUGAACACUUUACUUCCACCUGUGAGAAGGUCUCCCUGCUGUAUAUCAUUCUUCCUUACGAUGCAGACUUUUCCUACAGAUCCGCUCUAUUGAUUGCAGCCUCUUCUUCACAACAUGACAGUCCCCUUUAUCAGUCCCUAUCUUAAUACUGAGCAGGUUGAAAGUAUGUAUUAAUCUUGACUUCUUUAACCCAGAGCCCAUACACAAAAAGUGUGUGUGUGUGUGCUUGUCCCAUCUACAUUUCCUAACCACUCACCUCCAGUGACCUGGAGUUUGACAUCAGACAUUACAUCCAGUGCUCCUUCACAGAUGCAAAGAUUUUGAUCCACCUGUUUAGAACCUCUCCAAUGGCAAGAGAUCUUCCUAGUGCUUGGAAAAGCACCUUCUUCAGGCAACAGCUCCCAGACUCCCUCAGACAGCAUCAUCAUCAUCAGACUGGCUAGCUUAGGGAUUCUGGGAGUUACAGUUCAAAACCGGAACUUUUCCCAACAUCAAGCUGUCCAGAGAUUACUAGGAUCCCCUCACACACACACAAGUGUGCUACAUUGAAAUGAAGCAUAGGAUACAUUAUUUUAUUAUUUUUAAAAGGUUUUGUGCCAUCUGUUUUCCUAAGGGAAAGAAUCUAAGCUAGUGGUUAUUUCAUAAUAAUUUCAUAAUAGUAAGAGCAACCAUAGAACAACAUAGAAGCAAUCACUAUUGAUACACGACAGUAGCAUAAGGAUUACUGUGGAUAAAUGCUAUCAUUCCCUAACUGUAUCCACCUUCAGGUCUAUUAGAUUAUUUCUCCCAGAAUCCCUGCCUAGCCUCUUUGCACACUGGUCAUAUUGGCUAGUCCAUCACAUCUGAAGAUUGAUGAAAUUGGGAAAUAUAUGGCUCUCCAAAAUAUUAUCUUCCAUUUUCUUAUGUGCAAUUUUUGAUACCAACUUUUUCUGCCACCAAUAUGGCUUUUUCAGAGCAACAUAAACAAAGAGAACAGGUUCCUGCCCCAAAGAGCUUCCCUUUUAAAAUGUGAAGUGGAAGCCAUUAAGAGAGGGAAGAAAUGAGAGCAAUAGAAGUAUUAAUAGGAAUUAAUAGGACAUUCAAUGCAUCCUGGAUUUAAGUUUAUGCCCUACUCCUUUGUGUAUGGUGGCUGGAUAUAUUAAAGCAUCAUUUAAGAAUUCUAGCAUCUUCAACUGAGGAGAACCUUACAGGUGACAGGAAAUUAAAAGGCAGAGGGAAAUGCAUUUUGGAAAAGACAUGGUGUUUUAAAACCAUAUAUAUAUACUAAAUGGUUUCAAACUAAUUUUCUUAGUUGACACAGAAACCAAAACUAAAAGGUUGGAGUUUCUUUUUAAAAGGGGGGGGGGGGAGAGAGAGAGGAAUCAGACCAUUUAAAGACAGAAAAUAAUUUAGGACCCCAUCACAUAGAAAACCUUGCCGAUGCAGCCAGCACGGAGCUUGCUGCAUCUCAUCACAAGCUGUACAGGUACUU
ensembl:lncRNA